rnacentral:rRNA from 1 species
AAUACGUUCCCGGGCCUUGUACACACCGCCCGUCACAUCAUGGGAGUGGGUUGCACCAGAAGUAGCUAGUUUAACCUUCGGGAGAACGGUUACCACGGUGUGAUUCAUGACUGGGAUGAAGUCGGAACAAGGUAGCCGUAUCGGAAGGUGCGGCUGGAUCACCUCCUU